CGCAGCACUUGCAAGAUCCUAUAAAUGAGAGAAAAGCAAUGAUGGGGACAGACAUUUACUAAAACUUUCCCUGUGUUUUGUAACCUGAAAUUUCUAAGACAUUCCACUGUGUCCAGAUAUAACCAAUUGCCUAUUGUGGGCCAUUUUGGUUUUUUACAAUUUUAUUGAUAUUGCCUGCCCUAUAUUCCUGCUCCAUCGAACUCUUUGAUUAUUAGUGAUGCUAAAAUACUUUUAGACAUUAAUAUUUGUGAAUCAUCCUUUCUCUGAGCCUGACUCAGUUCUAAGUCCUUCUCCUACAUGAUUUCAUUCCCUACUCAUAGAACAUAGAAAUAGGUGUCAUCUUCUCCACUUCACAGAUGAAGAAACCGAGACUCAGAGAACUAACUUGCCCACGAUUAUACAUUCUAGUAAACAAUGAAGCUGGAAAUGCAAACUACCUUCUUAACUCAUUCUGAAAUUACAUGUGUGUAUGUGUGUUUGCAUGUGAAUGCCCAAUGAACAUGACUUUGUCAAGGAUGGAGUUUUCCUCAUCCAGUCACCUGGAGCUCAGAGACUUGAAUUGACUCACUCGUGGCCAUGGAGGCAUCAUGAGAACACAAGCCACCAAUUAACAGUUUAAAUCAAUAAAGUGUAAUUUGUGUUGGAGUUUCAAACUGACUGGGCAAAAGCUUUGAGAUGGAAUGCAGGCUUUGGGUGCUGGCAGCCAUUAUGGGAAAGAGAGAAUCAUGAAAAACAACAGAAGGUAUGGAAGAUGAUGCCUUCGACAAGCUAGUCUAUGGGAAAAUUUUGGGGUGUGCUGACAAGCGAGUAUCAUCAUCCAAUUAGCAGCUCCUCACAGUACCCAUUUUCCUAGGAUCUGGGGAGUGGGAAAUCUGAAGGGCAGAUCAGAGAGUCUUACUGCUUCAGGACAAGGACAGCCAAGGGAAAGUCUUCAGUAUUUGGAGAGAUACAGAAUCAAGUGGAAUUAAGAAGAAAAAUUCAGAUUUAGAAAGCCAGACAGAAGAAGGAAGGGGCUGGACUCUAAUAACUGCCCUCAUCCUAAGAUGGGCGUUCUUUAAAAAUGUCCCAGUACUCCUCACACUCUUGUAAAGUCACUUCUCCACAUCAAUGACUUGAGAGUAGUGCUGCUGGUGGUCAACCUGUAGGCAGGGAGACGAAAAAUUAUAGAGCAAGAACUUCAGUACCAAGAACAUGGUCUCAAAGAGGGUCUUCAUCGUCCCCUUUUGUAUCUUUCUGAUGAUUUAUUGCAAGACUUACGGCUCUUCCAUGUGAAAGCAUGGCAUUUGAUAUCAGCUAAUGGUAGAAGCAUUACAGAGAACACUUUCCAGGGAAGCUGUUUAAUGAUGAUUACAAUCAGUGCAUUUGAAUCUUAGAUGACCUAGUGAGUCACUGUCCUCUGUAAUUUUAUAAGACUCAUUUUUAGACUAUGAGUCUUUAAACCUCCUAUAGGACCUAAGGUGGUGUCUUGCUCACAAAUACGAGGUGAAUGAAAGACAGACAUCCAGGUGUCUUUCCAGGGGUAUGUUGGAGAAUCCAAAACCUAUCUUCCUACAAAUGCAGUUUGUUUUCGUUCCUUUCAAGUGUCUUCUCUGGAUUUGCACAUUGGAACUCCUCAGUCACCAGUGUGUGCCUGUUAUUCAAAUGUCUGAGAAGAUGCCGGAGCUAGACACCUCCAAUUGCAAACACGGCCCAAUUACAAAUAAAUCUACAAAUGAAUCACUUUCUAGUUUUUGCAUGUUGGGUGUUUCAUAUGCAGAGUUGAUGCUAUUGGCUCUUCCUCAGUAAGAUAUACAUCUCAAGUAGUUUUUGCAGUGUGAUGGAUUGACCUGGCCUGAUAGAUAAUAUGAUGGAGUGACUAUACCAUGGACAGAAUCAUCACUGUCUCCUGCCAAUCUUCCACAAUUGGAAAACAUGAUCCUGGAGAAAGUUACUAAACACGAGGAAUUAGGAAUCCAAGAAGCCAAACCAGGAGCCCAGCAGUCAAGGGACUGGAAGAGGUAAUUUUUCUCAGAAAGAAGCAAACAUUAAUAUGUGCUAGGCACUGUCUGAUGGCUUGGCUCUAAGACAAGGCAGCUGCCCAUGUACUGUACAGAGCAAAAAGGCUUACCAAAAUCCAAACCACCUUGAGUUAAAGAAAUCUGAAUGAGGAGCAUCACUAUUCUUUGUAUGUGUGUUUUAAAAGUCUUUGCUGUGUUACCAAAUAAAGAAAUGCGUGUAUUAUACCUCUAUUGAUGUAAA